UACGGCUACAACAUGUUGAAACACCGGUUCCGAUCACCGAAGUUAAGCAACGAUGAGCCUGGUCUGUACCUCGAUAGGUGACCGGAUGCGAAUGCCAGAUAGUGCU